AGAGUUUGAUCCUGGCUCAGAUUGAACGCUGGCGGCAUGCCACACACAUGCAAGUCGAACGGCAGCACGGGAGCAAUCCUGGUGGCGAGUGGCGAACGGGUGAGUAAUAUAUCGGAACGUGCCCAGUCGUGGGGGAUAACGCAGCGAAAGCUGUGCUAAUACCGCAUACGAUCUCUGGAUGAAAGCGGGGGACUCGCAAGGGCCUCGCGCGAUUGGAGCGGCCGAUAUCAGAUUAGCUAGUUGGUGGGGUAAAAGCCCACCAAGGCGACGAUCUGUAGCUGGUCUGAGAGGACGACCAGCCACACUGGAACUGAGACACGGUCCAGACUCCUACGGGAGGCAGCAGUGGGGAAUUUUGGACAAUGGGCGCAAGCCUGAUCCAGCAAUGCCGCGUGCAGGAUGAAGGCCUUCGGGUUGUAAACUGCUUUUGUACGGAACGAAACGGCUCUUUCUA
rnacentral:rRNA from 1 species